rnacentral:lncRNA from 1 species
UAGUGUACAUAAUAGAGUUGCGGAACCAAAGGAAGAAGCGCACAUAUAAAUUCUAAUGAGAUGAUGAAGAAGAACCACAUGAUGGCAAUAUGGAAGUCACAUUCGUGUCCUAAUUUUUUCCUUCACAUUACUAAUGAAUUGAGAUAAAUUCUUUUGUGAUGACCCAUUUAGAGCCACUGCAUCCUCAAUGUUUGUGUUACUUUCAUGACCUUCUUCUGCAAACCAUCACCCGAUUCUCCACAUAUCAGACGGUUGAUCUUCUCUGCUACAUCCACCCUUCUAACGGGUUUAACCCGAUCACAAAGAUUGAGUCCAACGCCCCAGUCAUCAACUACUAGUUUCCUAUUAGUGAUUUGGUCAGCCACUAGAGGAAAACAUAGCAUGGGAACACCACACCGCAUACUUUCCAGUAUAGAAUUCCAUCCACAAUGCGUUAAGAACCCUCCUACUGCUGGAUGUGAAAGCACCUCAAUCUGAGAGCACCAUGGCACCAUCAACCCUCUAUCUUUAAUCUCAUCUUCAAAUCCGACUGGUAGAAUAUACGUUUCAUCAUAACCUGUAGUGUCGGGACGAAGUACCCAGAUGAAAUUCACUUCACUAAGCAAAAGCCCAUAAGCUAUUUCCUCAAAAUCAUCCUUUGUAACUUGAGCAUAGCUGCCAAAAGAAAUGAACAAAACCGAACCAUGGGGCUUCUUGUGGAGCCAAUGGAUGCAGUCAAAUUCUGGCAUCAGAUUGGUAGCCACGAUGUUCUUGGUGAGACUAUCGGGGAAGACGGGGCCAAUUGCAUAUGUUGGUUGCUUCGCUUGCAAGGCAGAAAGGGACUCAAAUUCAAGUUCUUGCACUGUAUUACACAAAAUAAAAUCUGCCCUUUUCACUUCGCGAAAUGCCUUGUAAAAGAUGCGGAGCAUUGGGCAAAAUAAAUCUGUUGUUUGGAGGCAUGACAUCAAGUCCCUUGGUUCAAUAGCUUUCACGCUAGGUAUGUAAUCAAUGAUGUCCUCGCGAUUAUCUAAUAAAAUCAAGCAACAAAAAAAAAUUGUUUGUAACUAUAUAACUACGCUAAUAUUUAUGUCAUUAGAAUAUGAAUCUAAAUCAAAAGUUUAAACAAUAAUGCACGCAAUAUGAGAUCUUUAUGAGAAGGAUAUUACUUACCAUGAGCACCGAAAUGACCAUUUUUUCGGAGAAGGUCCAAGUGAUAGUAGAUGUUUAAGACUAGGGCUGGUUCAGUCCAGAAGGAAAUAUGGAUAAGGUUGUACUUGUUGGCUAUGGUUGCUGACCAUGAUUGGAAAGUAUCAACAAUCAAACAAGUGAUUGAGGGGUCAGAUUGGACUAAAUCUCCAACAAGUUCAUCCACAUGGGCAGGGAAGACAUGCAAAGUACCCUCAAGAAAUUGGUCGAGGUUCUGAAAUCGGUCGAAAGCUAGUGGAAAUCCAUCACUCACUGUUGUGUAGCGUAUGUCUAGACCAGAUUUACGCGCUGUGGCAAAGAUAUCGUCUUCUGUUUUGUCGUUGGGUUGGGACUUGAGUAUGUGGUGGUGGAUAUAUUGGGUGUUGACAAAAGUGAGGGUGAAGCCUUGUGAAGCAAGCUUCGUGGCCAGAUGGGUGAAUGGGAUUACAUGGCCUUGGAGAGGAAGAGGAACCAUAAUUGCAUGAGGGUUUGAGGCUUUGUCCUCCAUCUCUCUCUCUCUCUCUCUCUCUCUCUCUCUCUCUCUCUCUCUCUCUAGGUGUUUCUGAGAAAGUAGGCAAGUGAUGAACUGAAAAACACUUCUUAAUUGUGUGAUGUCUGUGAUGUGUGGACAGAUGACUGCCAUUUGUUUUUUGACAAACGAUUGGACAAUACACUCACUUCAUCUAAACUACAGAAAGGAGGAUUAGAAGUUGGAUUCGGAUUUAGAGCAAACUUAUAGCUAAACUCAGUUCUGUGCGAGAUGACUAUCAUUCAGUCAACCAAUUUUAAUAUAUAAGAAAAUAUAGGCUGCAUUAUCUUCUGUUUCUAUACACACAAAGUUUUUGACAUUAUCUUUAGAAAACGGGUGGGUGAGAAAGCAACAAAAUUAGUUUUUUCUUGGACGGUUUACUUUGCUCCAUAAUUGAACAAGUUGCCCCCACCACACCCUAUUCCCUUUGCUGAAUAAACAAGUAUUGAGAAAAACCUGGACAUCUCUUUCACAUGGUUCACUAACCAACAAGGUAACUUAUUAAAAAAGAAGCAAAGAACAACACUGAACAUAUGAACCGCUAUUCUUGAUUAUUUUUAACCACUAUUCAUUUUUCAUACCUAUUAUUGUUCGCUCCCUAAAUCCGUAUAUUUUGAGUGCAAACAAUUAUUACUUGACGGAAGUUGAUGAGACGCUUUAUUUCUCUCUCUUUAAUUUGUUUUAUUCGAUCAUGGCUAGGAAUGGCAAUUCUAACCGUUAAACCCGAUAAUCGUGGAUAACAGUCUGAAUGGAUUGGCUUUGGAUAUGAAAAUUCGGGUAUAUUUGAGUAUGGGGAAAAACCAUGAAUAUUAUUCGGUUAUGGUUUUGGAUAUGGUUAUAAGGGUCCCCAAUCCAUAUCCGUACCCGAAUCCGAACCAAAUAAUAUAUAAUAUAAUUAUAUGUAUGUAUAUAUAUAUAUAUGUGUGUGUAUAUGUAUAUUUAUUAUUCAUUGAAUCAAUUACCUUGAGAAUACAAAAAUUGCAUUGUGUGAGUUGCAUUUUGUGGCAAAGUCAAAAGUUUUGAUAAGAAUCAAAAUAUAUGAGAAUUUAAAAGUAUUUAUGCGAGAUAUCAAAGAUCAACCAACAUUAUCAAAGUUUAGCCUUAAUUUUUAUGUUACUCAUGAUCCAUUAAUUAAAUCAUUUUAGACAUCAAAUAUUUAAUGAUAAAAUUAAUAUUUACUAAAUUAUCAUGCGUCAAUUGGACGAAUAUAUUUUUUGUAUUAACGAAUAUGGAUAUAACCGUUAACCGAUUAGAAAUCUGUUAUCCGGUGGGUAUGGUUAUGGAUAAUACCCAAUGGUUAAUUUUCGUGGUUAUGGGGAUGGAUAUAGUAUAGAAAUUAUGGCUUUAAUUUGUAAUGUAUUUCAUAAGUUUAAUGUACAAUGGUUCAGGUAUAUAUGAGGAAGGAGGAAGAAAAAAAGAAAGAAGAAAGAAAGGUGAAAUGGUUGCUGCAAGCAGCCAACAAAGACAAAGAAAAAAGCAAAGCUAACUAGCCUAGUCUAAGCCUUACAACAACUUUCAUCAAUCAAUCAUCUCCCUUAAAUCAAGGAAAAGAAAGUAACCUAGUAUAAGCCUUACAACAAAGUAGCCUAGUCUAAGCCUUACAACAACAAUUUUCACCAAUCAAUCAUCUCCCUUAAAUUAAGGAAAAGACUAACCCUAGAGAACAUGGUAGCUGACUCUAGAGGCCAAAAUAUACUCAACACUUUCAACACUCCCCCUCAAGCUGGAUCGAGAAGGUUCACUGAGCCCAGCUUGCCCAAUAAUCGAUGAAAUUGAGCGGAUGCCAGUGCCUUUGUAAAGAGAUCUGUCAGUUGAUCAUGGCUUCGUGUGAACACGGUUUGGAUGAUUUGAGUUUGAACUUGAGCUCUAAUGAAAUGACAGUCCACUUCAAUAUGUUUGGUUCUUUCAUGGAACAUAGGGUUGGCAGCAAUGUGCAUGGCUUCCUGAUUAUCACACAUAAGCGACAUAUGAGUAGAACUAGGAAACCCUAAAUCUGAAAGAAGCCCUUUAAGCCAAAUGAGUUCACAAGUAGUGGCUGCCAUGGCUCGAUACUCAGCCUCUGCGCUGGAACGAGCAAUUACAUGUUGCUCCUUACUCUUCCAUGUAACAAGGUUUCCACUAACAAAUGUACAAUAGCAUGUGGUUGAUUUCUUAUCAAUUGCAUUACCUACCCAGUCUGCAUCUGUGUAGCCACUAAUGACAGUGGAUUGAUUGUUGUGCAUUGUGAUUCCUUGCCCUAUUGAACCUUGAGAUAACGAAGGAUUCUCUUAACAAUGUUAAGGUGAUCAACAGUGGGAGAGUGCAUAAACUGACUAGCCAAGCUCUGGCAUAAGUGAUAUCUAGACAAGUGAUGGUGAGGUAUAUGAGCUUGCCUACUAAUCGUUGAUAGUAGGUUACAUCAUGCAUGGCUUCUCCAUCUAUGCUGAGGUUCAAUUUACAAUCAACAUGAAUGAUAGCAGGCUUGCAGUCAAGCAUUUUUGCUUCUUGAAGAAGGUCCGAUACAUAUUUCUGUUGAUGUAGAAACAGUCAUUUUGAAGAUGUUGCCAUUUUGAUCCUUAAAAAAUACUUUAACCUCCCCAAAUCUUUGAUAGCGAAAGUUUGAUGUAGUGAGAGUUUUAGUGCCUCAAUCUCCAUGGUACUAUCUCCAGUGAUGAUAAGAUCAUCAACGUAGAUGAGGACCACCAACUUCCCACUGGUGCCAGUUCUCACAAAUAACGAAGAAUCAGCAUUACUUCGCACGAAUCGAGCCUUUUCCAGAACAGAACUGAGCUUGGCAUACCAAGCUUUUGGUGAUUGUUUCAAUCCGUAUAUUGCCUUAUGCAAUUUGCAAACCAUGUUGCAUUUGAUACCAUCAUAGCCUAGAGGAGGUUGCAUAUACACUUCUUCCUGCAACUCUCCGUGAAGGAAAUCAUUCUUCACAUCCAUUUGGUAGAGUGACCACGCACAAUUGAUUGCAAAUGUUUCUGGUGCAAAUGGUUCCUUAUAAUAUACUCCAAAGGUUUGGGUGAAACCUCGAGCAACAAGUCUAGCCUUGUGUCUCUCGAUAGAUCCAUCAGCUUUGAAUUUUGUCUUGUAGAUCCAACGACUUCCAACAGCCUUUUUUCCUGGUGGUAGUUGAACUAGGCUCCAUGUGUGAUUCUCUUCCAGUGCACGAAGCUCUUCUGUCAUGGCUUGGUUCCAUUGUAGGAGAAGAGAAGCUUCUUGAAAGCUUCUUAGUUCACAGUGCUUAUCAAUUUCACAGAGAAAUGCAGCAUGAGAUGUUGAGAACGUACUAAAGCUGAUACAUUCAGUGAUAGGAUGCCGUGAGGCAUAUGUAACAUAGUCUUACAACCUAGCUGGAGGUUUUCUGAUUCGAGAAGGGUUUCUCUUAAUCACCUGAGACUCUGUAGUGGACUGAGAAUGAUCAGAGUAAGGCUCUUCUUCACUCUCACUGGCAGUAAUUUGGUCAGUUUGUACCUCUUCACAAUCUGAACACACAGUGACUGAUCUUUCUUCCAACAUCGGAUGAUUAAAGUUUUGAAGGAGUGGGAACAUGUCAACUAAAUCCUCCCCCUGUCUUGUAAAAUAAGGACAGUCUUCUUCGAACUUCACAUCUCUUGAAACUGUGCACUUCUUAGUGAUUGGAUUGAAGCACUUGUAUCUCUUUUGGCUGGCCGAGUAUCCCAUAAACACACACUUGAUUGCCCUAGCAUCUAGUUUGUCACGAUUCAAGGUUUGGAUGUGAACAAAAUAAACAACCAAACACCUUGAGGUGUGUCAAAUCUAUUUUCAUCCCCUUGAGAACUUCAUAGGGAGAUUUAAACCUUAGCACAUGACUUGGAAGUCGAUUGAUAAGAUAAGUGGCAGUAAGGAUGGCAAACGACCAAAAUUUCUUUGGAACAUGCAUGUGAAUCAUGAAAGCACGAGUCUUCUCCAAGAAAUCUCUAUUUUUCCUCUCAGCUACUCCAUUUUGUUGAGGAGUCCCUACACAGCUGGUUUGAUUUAUGAUACCCUGAGAACUUAUGUAUUGAGGCAUGUUGUUGGAUAGAAAUUCAGUGCCAUUAUCUGACCUUAAAAAUUUAAUGUUUAAUUGAAAUUGUGUUUUAACAUGCAUGUGAAAGUCUUUGAAAAUGGUUAGGACUUCACUCUUUGAUUUCAUAAGAUAUAGAAAACUUGUUCGAGAGAAAUCAUCAACAAAUAGAACAAAGUACUUAAACCCUUCCAUUGAUUCAGUUGCAAGUCCCUAUACAUCGAUGUGUACCAUUUCAAAAGGUUUACUCGUCCUAGACAUUGAAUUACCAAAAGGUAGCCUAGUAAACUUAAAAAUUUGACAAGUAUCACAAGUAGGAUAGGGGUUACAAAAAUUUGGAAACAGUUUAGACAAGACAACUUCAGAGGGGUGAGCUAAUCUCUUAUGCCGAAGUUGGUUUUCAUCUAUGGAUUUCGAUUGAGUUUGAAGAGCCUGAGUGAAACAAGCAUUCUUGAACAGGUAGUAAAGUCCAUUUAUGAAGACCCCUUCACCAAUCAUCUUCAUGGUGAGAACAUCCUAAAACAUCACAUUAUUUGGUGAGAAAAUAGCACGGUAGUUUAAAGUGUUGGUGAUCUUUCCAAUUUACAAAAGUUGGAAAGGAAAGGUUGGUACAUAGAGGGCAGUGGAAGGUAUUUUUUAAGAGAGUAAGUUUAUUUCUCCUUUUCCCAAAACUAAGACAUUUUUUUUCCAUUUGCAACAGACACAUGCGAGGGACUUGAAAUUUUUUUAAAAUGAUGUCAAUUUGUAACUUUGUUUGUCAUAUGAUCCGUGGCGCCUGAAUCAAUUAUCCUACAAUCAGUUUCAGUACUAGUUAAUAGGGCAGUAGUGAAGGCUUUGAGUAUACCUGAUGCUUCUCCCUUUGGAACUUUCUCAUUUCCAGCAAGAAAGCCGGCAAAUUGUCCCAACAUAGCUAUGUGACUACCCUCUUCAUUGCCUUGACCAUGUGAGCCUCCUCCGUGUCCUUUACUUUGUAGGUAAGCUGCAAAUUCAUUGAUCAAUGACAAUGGAUUGGCAGUGAACUCCAUGGAUCCUUGUGAAAUAGUAGGAGGGUGAGCAUUAGCAAGUUGUGCCUUGAAAUGAGGUUAAAAUUGAUGUGAGGAUCUUUGUAUCAUCUUUCCAUAUUUGCUGAACUUAGGCUUAAGUUCAGGAUGAAGUUCCCAACACUUGUCUUCCACAUGACCAACACCAUUGCAAUAUUUGCAUUUUAGAUGUGUGUUUCUUCCCUUGUAUACCUUGGCUUCUGAAUUCUUGUAAUUUGAUGCAUAUGCCCAAGUCUCAGUCAAUCUGGGGCUGUGAUUAGCACUCAUAACCUUCUUCCUUGCUUCUUCUCGUUGGAUAGUUGCACAAACAUUGUUGAAGGUAGGUAGGUCUUGACUCAUCAAGAUGUGACUCCUUAGGUCCUCGUACUUAGAGCUCAAACUCCCUAACAACUAAUAAAUUUUGUCUUCCUCAGCUCAUUUUAAGAGAAUGGUAGGAUCUGUGGUAUGAUGGAGAUAUACAUCCAACUCAUUCCACAUGGCUUUGAGACUCCCAAGGUGUUGAACAAACGUUUUCCCUUCUUGUUGAGCACUGGCAAUGUCCUUUUUUAAUUGGAAGACCCGUGCAUAGUUGUUUUGAUUUCCAUACAUAUCCUGCAAAGCUUUCCAAAGAUCAUGUGCAGAAUUAAAGUAGAUAAAAAUUUCAACAACAUGUUUCUCCAUGGUGUUGAGCAGCAAGGAUAUGACAAGUUGAUCUUUGCAAAGCCAUGUAUCGUAUGUAGAGGAAGAACAGUCUAGAGCUUCCACGCUUCCAUUUACAAAACCUAACUUCCCUUUGCCUCCAAGAGCUAGUGAAACAGCUCGGGACCAAGGAAGAUAAUUGAACUCAUUUAAGAGAACUGAACAUAAACGUUGAUUGGUGUUAACCUCAACGUCUGAGAAGUUUAGAGAGAGACUAUGAAGGUAGGUAGGUCUUGACUCAUCAAGAUGUGACUCCUUAGGUCCUCGUACUUAGAGCUCAAACUCCCUAACAGCUAAUAAAUUUUGUCUUCCUCAGCUCAUUUUAAGAGAAUGAAUGGUAGGAUCUGUGGUAUGAUGGAGAUAUACAUCCAACUUAUUCCACAUGGCUUUGAGACUCCCAAGGUGUUGAACAAACGUUUUUCCCUUCUUGUUGAACACUGGCAAUGUCCUUUUUUAAUUGGAAGACCCGCGCAUAGUUGUUUUUGAUUUCCAUACAUAUCCUGCAAAGCUUUCCAAAGAUCAUGUGCAGAAUUAAAGUAGAUAAAAAUUUCAACAACAUGUUUCUCCAUGGUGUUGAGCAGCAAGGAUAUGACAAGUUGAUCUUUGCAAAGCCAUGUAUCGUAUGUAGAGGAAGAACAGUCUAGAGCUUCCACGCUUCCAUUUACAAAACCUAACUUCCCUUUGCCUCCAAGAGCUAGUGAAACAGCUCGGGACCAAGGAAGAUAAUUGAACUCAUUUAAGAGAACUGAACAUAAACGUUGAUUGGUGUUAACCUCAACGUCUGAGAAGUUUAGAGAGAGACUAUGAAGGUAGGUAGGUCUUGACUCAUCAAGAUGUGACUCCUUAGGUCCUCGUACUUAGAGCUCAAACUCCCUAACAGCUAAUAAAUUUUGUCUUCCUCAGCUCAUUUUAAGAGAAUGGUAGGAUCUGUGGUAUGAUGGAGAUAUACAUCCAACUUAUUCCACAUGGCUUUGAGACUCCCAAGGUGUUGAACAAACGUUUUCCCUUCUUGUUGAACACUGGCAAUGUCCUUUUUUAAUUGGAAGACCCGCGCAUAGUUGUUUUGAUUUCCAUACAUAUCCUGCAAAGCUUUCCAAAGAUCAUGUGCAGAAUUAAAGUAGAUAAAAAUUUCAACAACAUGUUUCUCCAUGGUGUUGAGCAGCAAGGAUAUGACAAGUUGAUCUUUGCAAAGCCAUGUAUCGUAUGUAGAGGAAGAACAGUCUAGAGCUUCCACGCUUCCAUUUACAAAACCUAACUUCCCUUUGCCUCCAAGAGCUAGUGAAACAGCUCAGGACCAAGGAAGAUAAUUGAACUCAUUUAAGAGAACUGAACAUAAACGUUGAUUGGUGUUAACCUCAACGUCUGAGAAGUUUAGAGAGAGACUAUGCUGGGUUUCCUCAUCAUGGUUCACAGAACUUUCUUCAGCCAUGACUUAGACUUUGAAAGAAAAAAUUUGCAGCAGCAAGAAUGGCAGAGACAGGUUACAAAAGAACCUGCUUUGAUACCAUAUAGAAAUUAUGGCUUUAAUUUGUAAUGUAUUUCAUAAGUUUAAUGUACAAUGGUUCAGGUAUAAAUGAGGAAGUAAGAAGAAAGAAAGAAAGAAGAAAGAAAGAUGAAAUGACUGCUGCAAGUAGUCGGCAAAGACAAAGAAAAAAGCAAAGCUAACUAGCCUAGUCUUAAGCCUUACAACAACAACUUUCAUCAAUCAAUCAUCUCUCUUAAAUCAAGGAAAAGAAAGUAGCCUAUCUAAGCCUUACAACAAAGUAGCCUAGUCUAAGCCUUACAACAAAGUAGCCUAGUCUAAGCCUUACAACAACAAUUUUCACCAAUCAAUCAUCUCCCUUAAAUCAAGGUGUUGGUACCAUAUUAUAUUAGGCCUCGUUACUUGGGCUUCCAGACAUUGAGCCCAUGAUUUAUGUAAAAAGGGAGGAGCCUUUAGUCUAUAAAAGGGUCUCCUCACCCUCGUAAUCCUCAAGUCUCAUCCUCACAUACAAAAGCCACAAGGCUCACAAACAGAGAAACUCUCCCAAACUCUCCCAAACUCUCCCAAACUCUCUCUUUCUCUAGGGGACUCCCCCUCACACUUGUAAUUCAUACAUUCGUACAGAUAAAUACAAUCAACAUCAGUGUGGACGUAGCCCAAACAUUAGGGUGAACCACGAUACAUCUUUGUGUUCUUUGGCGUUUGCAAGAUUUACAGUCAGAUUUACGUUGUUCCAAGGCCUUCCGGUUUUGUGCAUCAACACAAGGAAAAGACUAACCCUAGAGAAAAUGGUAGAUGACUCUAGAAGCCAAAAUAUACUCAACACUUUCAACAUGUAGCAUUUCCGUCCCCAAACCGAUCCGUCGUCAUCCCUAAUCAUGGCAGGUGGGAUAUGCAGAUACACCGGGAGGAAUUGGGUAAAAAUAAAAUAUAUAUAUACACACACAUUUGAUUGAACGUGUUUGAAAUUACUGGGUUUAGAAACGUUCCAAAUUGAAUAAGCAAGGAAUAAUUUGAAAUCAUUUUGUUCCUAUUACUUUUGUCCAAAUCUGGAUUUAAUACUCUAAACAAACAAUUUUGCCUUAUAAUGUAUCACGGACUCGUAAGCCAACUCACAUUUGAUGAGCUAAAUUGUAUCACGGACUGGAUUUGAAGUUCAGGAUUUGAGUCCAUGAUAGACGGGUUUCGUAACCUGUCACGACCCAUGGGUUAUGGAGCCAAUCCACUCAGCCUUCGUCGCCGUCCUCUCUUCUUUCUCUCUUCUUCCUCAACUUCGGCUACAAUUCCGGCGACCUCAUAUUUUCGUUUCGCGGGACGUUCAUCUCCUCUUUUUUUCAGGUCAACAGAGAUCUGAUUUUGUAAGUGUGGGCCGCGGGUCGUUGAUGGUGGGUCACCGGUUACAAGCGAUCUGCAGGGGUCGCAAGCAUUGCGGUGGGUCUCGAUCAGCGUCUCGAGUUGAUGGGUGGGUCGCGAGUUGAUCGCUGGGUGUGUCGCAAGGCGCCGUUGUCCAGGACGACGCUUUUGUAUUCAUGUUGGGAGGUUGUGUCGUAUGCUUAUAUUUUUUUUUUUUAAAAGUAAAAUGUUAGAGAGACUAAAUUUGUAAAUUAAAUGACGUGUUACCAAUAUGAAUGAACACAUUUAUUAACGUUUAAGUAAUAAUUCAAUUAUCAAUUUUCAUAUCAUUUAAUUUAUAAAAUUUUAUCUACAAAUUUAAUCUCUCUAACUAUUUUUUUUUAAUUUGUUUCAUUUCAAUCCCAACCUAGCUUUUUUAUUAACGUUUAGGUGAAGAGGGGUUGUGUUGUAUGCUUCUAUUUAUUUUUUUGAAAUUUGUGCUAUUUCAAUCUCAACCUAUACCUUUAACAUAUUUGUUUAUCUAACAUGAUUCUCCCACCAAAACCAUUUAACAAAUCACAACCCUACAAAAUUCGAUUCGACAAAUCUCAAUUUGUGGCGGAGCCAGCAUGACGUUAUUAGUUGUUCUUAACCCCCAACAACUUCAAAAACUCCAUGUAUAUUUGUUUGUGUAAUGUAUUUGACCUUUAUAAAUAGCUAAGGUAAACUAAAUUACAACAUUCUUCUCCUACUUUUACUUUCUUCUAUCAUAUUUGUCUCACUUUUAUCUCUUCUUGUAUGUGACUAUGUUGUGAGCACCAUGUGCUCGAUGAAAUAUCUUUGUUGACAAGUCUCGAUAGUUUUCAACAUUACUCUACAGUAUCCUGCAUCCACCCUCGAUAAGCCUCUAUAAAUAGUAGUAAUUGUCAACAUAUAUUGUAUAAGCUUUCAAUAUAUGUCUUGUCAGGUGCCUACUAGGUGCUCGACAAAAAAGUCAAACAAAAAUUUUUGGUUAAUAUUAUGACCCCAUUAUUUAAAAAUCUUGGUUGCGUUGUUGAUCUCAACCCUACAAAGUUGAAUUUUAUUUUGCCUAAAUCAAGGCUCCCAAACUAUGAACGACUCAGCUUACUAUUUAGAAACCCUACAUUCUACACUCAUUUCGUGGACCUCACUUUAUCUAUUUUGUUCAAAAGUGGUAACUUAAUCUAAACCUUAUCGGAUUAUGUUUUACCAAAAUUUAUUCUAAUUUAUAUUAAAUUCAUGUGGAUGGCCCUACCCUAAGCAUUAUUGGUUUGGUUUCACUUGUAAGCAACUUAUACACUAUUACCGCCGAUUUCCGUGACAAGGACAUGUGUGAAUUUUUGUUCAUAUUAUAUUAUAUCACUGAACGUUGUAAUGUAAUGUACAUAUGACAUGAAAGUACUUAUUAAGAGAAUAACUUACAUUAUACAACACGGAUAUACCAUCGCGCCCAUAUCAUGGAAGUUAUUAUGGGACCAUUCCAGUAAAAUGAGAUGAGAUAAGAUGAGGUGUAAGAUUUUGUCCAGAAAAAAAAGGUGUUGAAACUAUGUCGUUCGGUGACAACUAUUGUCGUCGUUAAUGUUGGUAGUAUUAUUGUUCCUUCUACAGUUUAGACGGUCACUGAACACCCUGUAAACCAGUAAAUCACAUGAUUGUGGCAAAUGACCAAUGGCUGGCCAAGUCUUCUAAAUUUCCAAACUAAUUUCUAAACUCCCAAAAAUGGAAAAUAAAAUAACAAAAAAAUAAACAUGAAAGAGAGAGGCGGUGUCAGUGGAAAGUAAUUUUUUUUUUUGAACAAACGAUAUUAUUUACACUUAGGGGGUAACAAAGUGGGCUAAACCUCACAAUGAGCUAGCAAUAAUGUAGUUCAAAUUUGUUUUUGGCUAGAAUCGAACCUAAGACAUCUCGCUUACAAGUGAAGGGGAAUAACAAUAGACCGUAGUAUUAAGUGGCGUCAGUAGAAAGUAAUCGGGUCAUGAGUAGCUGGGAUCCAACAUUUACCCAACUUAACAUCUUAGAUGACCAACCAAUUCGAACCUGCUUCAUUAGCCCCUUUUUUCUCAAACAAAAGUAUAUGAAAACUUUGAGAGAAAGAUUGGUUGAAAGUCUUUGAAAAUAUUGAAAUAUUGUGUAAAGUGGAAGAUAAAGUUUAGGUAUUUAUAGAAAAAAAAAUUCCUGCAUUUUAAUAAUUUUUAAUAAUUUCUAAUAAUUUUUAUAAUUUUUAAUAAAUUUGUAUUAACUUAAUUAAUUUGGACCAUAGGCUUACAAAAAAAUUGAAAUCCAACAGCCCAUAUUUUGACACGUGGCCAACGAUAACAUUUCUACUUUUUUUUCAUAAUUUUUUAAUCCGAAAAACCUAGACCGUUGAUUAGAAAUCAAACGGUGCAGAUUGUGCCAUGUCAUCUAGUCAUUGGGUUAGAUUUCAAUUUUUUGUUACCGUUAGAAAUCCAACAGCCUAGAAAAAAAUAGCCAUUGGAAAUCCAACGGCCUGGAAUAAGCCACGUCACCUCCUAUCCAGACUCCAAUAGUGCGCUUACCACACGCUGUAGGAUGUUAGAAACUGACGCCCACGAGCGUGUGUUUUCCACGUGCUUGACACAUAAAAAAAAGAAAAAGGUUUGAGAUCAUGGUUGACUCACGUUGACGUCAGCCUUGUGUCAUAUCUCUUAGGGGCUGGGCUAGUCGAUAUUUGUCUGGGAGAGAAACUUGGCUCCCCUACCCCUGGGCUUAGGAGGGCUAAAUGAGGUUUUUUUGGAGGGGGAUGAGAUUAAAUCCACUAUCCCCUAGGAGAUCAAAGAGCGUUGAGCUACUAUUAGAGCAUUUCCACUCCUACCAGAUUGUCCAAGCAAUUAUUGCUCAACUAUUGAGCAAGGUAAUUACUGCCUUUAGUACGCAAUAAUUGUCUAAGUGCAUCUCCACCUCUAAGCCCAGACAAUUCGUAUUAAUAUAUAUAUAUAUAUAUAUAUAUAUAUAUAUAUUUAUAAAAUAAUAAAAGAUUAUUUUAUUUUUAAUUUCGGAUAAGAUUUAAAACCAAUCUCAUUUUGCCACGUGUCAUUAUCCGAAAGUACAAUUUUUGUGGAUAGAUUUUUGAGUGGAUUUUUAGCCAUAUGUAGCGCCACAUGUCAUAAUUUUGUAUUUUUAUGUUUUUAAGUUUAUUUUCUUUAUUUUUAAUAAUUUUUGUUAAAUUUCAUUUUUUUUUUAACAAACAAUAUUAUGUACACUAGAGGGGAGGAGGUGGAACCUAAGACAUCUUACUUACAAAUGAAGAGAAAUACCGUUAGACCGUUGUACUAAGUGGCAUCAAACUGCAUUAUUAUGUAGAAUAUAGUUAGUUGUGCGGGACAAACUAGGACAGCUAUUUCACAACAGACUUAAUAUUCUAUCAUAAUCUUUAGUAGUGGUUUACUAUCUUUUUAUUCACACUAUAUUCUAAUUAAUCUAAUCUAAAGUACAAAAGUGCGGAUUCGAAUUUGAGGACAGAGAAGAGAGCACACUACUCUACGCAACAUGAUCAAAGCAUUUGCAGUAAGGUUUUUACUUUCAAUUUAUUGUUCAGGAUCGAGUGAAUGAAUUGUUGGAUUCCAUUUAACCGAUCAUUUGAUUCUAAUGAUUAUGUGGGACUUGAAUAUCACAUCCACAAACUGAAAGAAAAUGACCAAUAAAUCCGAAAAGAAAAGGAAUCCCUAGACCCUUAUGAAUUUUGCUGUGAAAAUUGGAGCAAGACCAAGGCCUGCAGAAAUUGCAAGUAAACAUUAUGUAGUGAAAUUGUUAAAUAUGAAAAUGUGGAUAAGAGAAAUCAUCAUAAUCCGUUGCAGUAUGUUAGUGAUUAGAUGUCUAAAGAAACAGAGAGACGUACCAACCUAGCCAAAUAAGAGAGUAAAGAUCUUCUAGUAUGAUGAUUUGUAUAGAAAUAGAAGCAAAAAUUGCUCGUAUUUUUCGUAGUAAAGAUUAAGUGUUAGAUUAAUAUGUGGUAAUGUUGUAAUGUUGUAAUGUUGUAAACUUGGCAGCGUAACGAAUAGAGAGAAGAAAAAACUGAACUGCGUCCGCUCUGAUAUCUGGAUGAUUCUUCAGCUUCCAUCUCUUGUCAAUGCUACUAAUCCAAAAUUUUCCCUUUCUAGCAAAUCAGAAUUAGUAACAAGAAGAUAAGUCUUUGGUGAAAGUGAUGGUGAAACCAUUCGACACCACUAGUGAAAUUUACUGAACAAGCAAAGGAAGAAAUACCUAAACGGGUAAAAAUCACUUUUGAAAACGAAACCAAAACAAAAACUAGCAAAAGCAAGAAUCCGGAAGCUGAGACAAAUAAAUCACUUUACUCUUUCUUGUACACCUAAUAGACAAACAAAUCAUACUAUUAUUGUACAUGUAACCACCAAUCACACAUAUAAAACCCAAAAAAGUCAGUAACAAAGCUGUCAAAGUAUUCGAAAAACUUGUGAAAAUUUGAGUUUAUGUUAAUUGAGAGGUUGCUUAAUUAACAUUCCCAAAUAAUGGAGUUGUGCAACAAACGUGCAUAAUAGAGUUGCGGAACCAAAGGAAAAAGCGCACAUAUAAAUUCUAGAUGUGUUACAUUCUUGUAUUUCGGCCUUUACAUCGCUAAUGAAGCGUCUUAUGGCAGCCAGUCAAUGAGAUGAUGAAGAAGAACCACAUGAUGGCAAUAUGGAAGUCACAUUCGUGUCUGAAUUUUUUCCUUCACAUUACUAAUGAAUUGAGAUAAGUUCUUUUGUGAUGACCCAUUUAGAGCCACUGCAUCCUCCAAUGUUUGUGUUGCUUUCAUGACCUUCUUCUGCAAACCGUCACCCGAUUUUCCACAUAUCAGACGGUUGAUCUUCUCUGCUACCUCCACCCUUCUAACUGGUUUAACCCGAUCACAAAGAUUGAGUCCAAUGCCCCAAUCAUCAACUACUAGUUUCCUAUUAGUGAUUUGGUCAGCCACUAGAGGAAAACAUAGCAUGGGAACACCACACCGCAUACUUUCCAGUAUAGAAUUCCAUCCACAAUGCGUUAAGAACCCUCCUACUGCUGGAUGUGAAAGCACCUCAAUCUGAGAGCACCAUGGCACCAUCAACCCUCUAUCUUUAAUCUCAUCUUCAAAUCCGACUGGUAGAAUAUACGUUUCAUCAUAACCUGUAGUGUCGGAACGAAGUACCCAGAUGAAAUUCACUUUACUAAGCAAAAGCCCAUGAGCUAUUUCCUCAAAAUCAUCUUUUGUAACUUGAGCAUAGCUUCCAAAUGAAAUGAACAAAACCGAACCAUGAGGCUUCUCGUGGAGCCAAUGGAUGCAGUCAAAUUCUGGCAUCAGGUUGGUAGCCACGAUAUUCUUGGUGAGAUUAUCGGGGAAGACAGGGCCAAUUGGAUAUGUUGGUUGCUUAGCUUGCAAGGCAGAAAGGGACUCAAAUUCAAGUUCUUGCACUGUAUUACACAAAAUAAAAUCUGCCUUUUUCACUUCACGAAAUGACUUGUAAAACGUUCGGAGCAUUGGGCAAAAUAAAUCUGUUGAUUGGAUGUGUGACAUCAAGUCCUUUGGUUCAAUAGCUUUCACGCCAGGUAUGUAAUCAAUGAUGUCCUCGCGAUUAUCUAAUAAAUCAAGCGACAAAAACAAAUGUUUAUAACUAUAUUAUGUCAUAGUAAAAUUCAAACAAUAAUAUACGCAAUAUGAGAUCUUUAUGAGAACUUACCAUGAGAACCGAAAUGACCAUUCUUUUGCAGAAGGUCCAAGUGAUAGUAGAUGUUGAACACUAGAGCUGGUUCAGUCCAGAAGGAAAUAUGGAUAAG